GGAGGAGACGCCUAAUGGUCGGGCAGCAGGUUGCUAACCUGUAACCGUGUAAAAAGCGGUCUGUGGGUUCGAGUCCCACCUCCUCCG
rnacentral:tRNA from 1 species